CCUACGGGCGACAGCAGUGAGGAAUAUUGGUCAAUGGGCGCGAGCCUGAACCAGCCAAGUAGCGUGAAGGAUGACUGCCCUACGGGUUGUAAACUUCUUUUGUCAGGGAACAAAGGCGGGGACUAGUCCCCGGAUGAGGGUACCUGAAGAAAAAGCAUCGGCUAACUCCGUGCCAGCAGCCGCGGUAAUACGGAGGAUGCGAGCGUUAUCCGGAUUUAUUGGGUUUAAAGGGUGCGCAGGCGGCCUGUUAAGUCAGCGGUAAAAGCCCGGGGCUCAACCCCGGCGAGCCGUUGAAACUGGCGGGCUGGAGUUGGAGAGAAGUACGCGGAAUGCGCGGUGUAGCGGUGAAAUGCUUAGAUAUCGCGCAGAACCCCGAUUGCGAAGGCAGCGUACCGGCUCCACACUGACGCUGAGGCACGAAAGCGUGGGUAUCGAACAGGAUUAGAUACCUGGGUAGUC
rnacentral:rRNA from 1 species